CACCGCCCGUCGCUACUACCGACUGAGAGGUUUGGUAAGGUCUUUGGAUUGGCGUCAUUGCGGUGGUGGCCGAGAGGCCGCAGAUCGACAGGCGGUGAGAAGACAACCAAACUUGUUCAUUUAGUGGAAGUAAAAGGUGUACCAAGGUUUCCAUAGGUGAACCUGCGGAAG
rnacentral:ncRNA from 1 species